rnacentral:rRNA from 1 species
CCAAUAGCGUAUAUUAAAGUUGUUGCAGUUAAAAAGCUCGUAGUUGAAUUUCGGGAUCAAUAUGCCGGUCAUGCCUUGGUAUGCACUGGUAUCUUUGAUUUCUCCCUUCUGACGAACUUUGAUGUCAUUAAUUUGGUGUCAUAGGGAAUCAGGACUGUUACUUUGAAAAAAUUAGAGUGUUUAAAGCAAGCUCACGCUUG